CCCUUAGAUGUUCUGGGCUGCACGCGCGCUACACUGAUGCGCUCAACGAGUUUUAACCUUGCCUGGAAAGGUUGGGUAAUCUUUUUAAAACGCAUCGUGAUGGGGAUAGAUUAUUGCAAUUAUUAAUCUUCAACGAGGAAUUCCUAGUAAGCGCGAGUCAUCAGCUCGUGCUGAUUACGUCCCUGCCCUUUGUACACACCGCCCGUCGCUCCUACCGAUUGAGUGAUCUGGUGAAUAAUUCGGACUGCGGCAUUGACCGGUUCCCGAUCGUUGCUGCGGAAAGUUUAGUGAACCUUAUCACUUAGAGGAAGGAGAAGCCGUAACA
rnacentral:rRNA from 1 species